AGAGUUUGAUCAUGGCUCAGAGCGAACGCUGGCGGCAGGCCUAAUACAUGCAAGUCGAACGGUCUCUUCGGAGGCAGUGGCGGACGGGUGAGUAACGCGUGGGAAUAUGCCCUUUGGUACGGAACAACUGAGGGAAACUUCAGCUAAUACCGUAUGUGCCCUUCGGGGGGAAAGAUUUAUCGCCAUUGGAGUAGCCCGCGUUGGAUUAGGUAGUUGGUGGGGUAAAGGCCUACCAAGCCUACGAUCCAUAGCUGGUCUGAGAGGAUGAUCAGCCACACUGGGACUGAGACACGGCCCAGACUCCUACGGGAGGCAGCAGUAGGGAAUCUUGCGCAAUGGGCGAAAGCCUGACGCAGCCAUGCCGCGUGAAUGAUGAAGGUCUUAGGAUUGUAAAAUUCUUUCACCGGGGAAGAUAAUGACGGUACCCGGAGAAGAAGCCCCGGCUAACUUCGUG
rnacentral:rRNA from 1 species